rnacentral:rRNA from 1 species
GAUGAACGCUGGCGGCGCGCCUAACACAUGCAAGUCGAACGAUUAAAGCACCUUCGGGUGUGUAUAAAGUGGCGAACGGCUGAGUAACACGUGGGCAACCUGCCCCUUUCAUUGGGUUAGCCACGGGAAACCGUGGAUAAUACCGAAUACUUCGAGACUUCCGCAUGGAAGACUCGAGAAAGCUCCGGCGGGGGGGGCUGGGCCCUGGGCCUGUCAGCUUGUUGGGGGGGUAACGGCCUACCAAGGCAAUGAGGGGUAGGUGGGUUGAGAGACCGACCAGGCAGAAUGGGACUGAGAGACGGCGCAGAGGCCAACGGGAGGCAGCAGUGGGGAAUCUGGCACAGUGGGCGAAAGCCUGAUGCGGCGACGCCGCGUGCGGGAUGAAGGCCUUCGGGUUGUAAACCGCUUUCAGCAGGGACGAGGCGAAAGUGACGGUACCUGCAGAAGAAGCCCCGGCUAACUACGUG